GGCGCACGGGUGCGUAACGCGUAUGCAAUCUACCUUUCACAGAGGGAUAGCCCAGAGAAAUUUGGAUUAAUACCUCAUAGUAUUAUAGAGUGGCGUCACUUUAUAAUUAAAGUCACAACGGUGAAAGAUGAGCAUGCGUCCCAUUAGCUAGUUGGUAAGGUAACGGCUUACCAAGGCAACGAUGGGUAGGGGUCCUGAGAGGGAGAUCCCCCACACUGGUACUGAGACACGGACCAGACUCCUACGGGAGGCAGCAGUGAGGAAUAUUGGACAAUGGGCGCAAGCCUGAUCCAGCCAUGCCGCGUGCAGGAUGACGGUCCUAUGGAUUGUAAACUGCUUUUGCACAGGAAGAAACACUCGGACGUGUCCGAGCUUGACGGUACUGUGAGAAUAAGGAUCGGCUAACUCCGUGCCAGCAGCCGCGGUAAUACGGAGGAUCCAAGCGUUAUCCGGAAUCAUUGGGUUUAAAGGGUCCGUAGGCGGUUUAGUAAGUCAGUGGUGAAAGCCCAUCGCUCAACGGUGGAACGGCCAUUGAUACUGCUAAACUUGAAUUAUUAGGAAGUAACUAGAAUAUGUAGUGUAGCGGUGAAAUGCUUAGAGAUUACAUGGAAUACCAAUUGCGAAGGCAGGUUACUACUAAUGGAUUGACGCUGAUGGACGAAAGCGUGGGUAGCGAACAGGAUUAGAUACCCUGGUAGUCCACGCCGUAAACGAUGGAUACUAGCUGUUGGAAGCAAUUUCAGUGGCUAAGCGAAAGUGAUAAGUAUCCCACCUGGGGAGUACGUUCGCAAGAAUGAAACUCAAAGGAAUUGACGGGGGCCCGCACAAG
rnacentral:rRNA from 1 species